GUGUAAGAGACAGCAGUCGCCACGGUAAUACGGAGGGCGCGAGCGUUACCCGGAUUUACUGGGCGUAAAGGGCGUGUAGGCGGCCUGGGGCGUCCCAUGUGAAAGGCCACGGCUCAACCGUGGAGGAGCGUGGGAUACGCUCAGGCUAGAGGGUGGGAGAGGGUGGUGGAAUUCCCGGAGUAGCGGUGAAAUGCGCAGAUACCGGGAGGAACGCCGAUGGCGAAGGCAGCCACCUGGUCCACUUCUGACGCUGAGGCGCGAAAGCGUGGGGAGCAAACCGGAUUAGAUACCCGAGUAGUCCCUGUCUCUUAUAC
rnacentral:rRNA from 1 species